AUUGAACGCUGGCGGCAUGCUUUACACAUGCCAGUCGAACGGCAGCGCGGGCUUCGGCCUGGCGGCGAGUGGCGAACGGGUGAGUAAUACAUCGGAACGUGCCCAGUAGUGGGGGAUAGCUCGGCGAAAGCCGGAUUAAUACCGCAUACGACCUGAGGGUGAAAGCGGGGGAUCUUCGGACCUCGCGCUAUUGGAGCGGCCGAUGGCAGAUUAGCUAGUUGGUGGGGUAAAGGCCUACCAAGGCGACGAUCUGUAGCUGGUCUGAGAGGACGACCAGCCACACUGGGACUGAGACACGGCCCAGACUCCUACGGGAGGCAGCAGUGGGGAAUGUUGGACAAUGGGCGAAAGCCUGAUCCAGCAAUGCCGCGUGUGUGAUGAAGGCCUUCGGGUUGUAAAGCACUUUUGGCGGGAACGAAAAGGACUGUGCCAAUACCACGGUUGGAUGACGGUACCCGCAGAAUAAGCACCGGCUAACUACGUG
rnacentral:rRNA from 1 species